UUCACACAGACACGCCCCAAGUAGGAAGUGCUGAGUAGAGCAGCAGAAACUGUUAGCUGCUGCUAGUAGAGGAGAUGUUUUGAACUUGGCUUCAAACGGAGGCGGAUUUUUUUCAUCACUAAUUCAUCCGAUGUAUGAACGCAUCUGUUUAGGGUAUUGUCGUCCGUUCCUUGUGCUGACCACUCUAAAACAGAGACCUCAUGGAGCACAUUCGCACACCAAAGGUAGAACAAGUGAAGCUGCUAGAUCGCUUCAGCAACAAGUCCGUUACAGGAACCCUCCAUCUGACGGCUACACAUCUGAUCUUCGUGGAGAGUAAUUCAACCAGUGCCCAGGAGAUAUGGAUCCUUCAUCACCACAUUGCCUCCGUGGAAAAGCUGUCCCUCACAACCAGUGGCUGCCCGCUCCUCAUUCAGUGCCGGAAUUUCCGGCUCGUCCACUUUGUGAUUCCGCGAGAGCGUGACUGCCAUGACAUCUACAGCUCUCUGCUCAGGCUGCUGAGACCAGUGUCCUACGAUGAGCUGUACGCGUUCUCCUACAACCCAAAGCAGAAUGACCAACAGAGAGAGGAGGGCUGGCAACUCAUAGACCUCGCAGCUGAGUUUGAACGGAUGGGAGUGCCAUGUGAUCAGUGGCAAUUGACGGAUGUUAACAGGGAGUACAAGGUGUGUGAGACAUAUCCAAGAGACUUAUACGUACCCAUUACGGCCAGUAAACCCAUCAUAGUCGGAAGCUCCAAGUUCAGAAGCAAAGGCCGCUUUCCUGUCCUAACAUACUUCUACCAGGAGAAGAAGGCGGCGGUGUGUCGAUGCAGUCAGCCUCUCUCUGGCUUCAGCGCUCGCUGUUUAGAAGACGAACACAUGCUUCAGGCCAUCAGCAAGGCCAAUCACAACAGCCGAUGCAUAUAUGUGAUGGACACGCGGCCUAAGUUGAAUGCACUGGCGAAUCGUGCGGCAGGGAAAGGUUAUGAGAAUGAAGACAACUACCCUAAUAUCCGCUUCCAGUUUGUGGGCAUCGAGAACAUCCAUGUGAUGAGAGGAAGUUUACAGAAGCUUCUGGAAGUGAUGGGAACGCGCUCACUUUCCAUGACUGAUUACCUGGUUGGACUGGAAAACAGCGGAUGGCUGCGUCAUAUCAAAGCCAUCAUGGAUGCUGCUAUAUUUCUUGCCAAGGCUGUGACUGUUGAGGGCGCUAGUGUCCUAGUGCACUGCUCUGAUGGAUGGGAUCGGACGGCUCAGGUCUGUGCUCUGGGCUCUCUGCUGAUGGAUCCGUACUAUCGCACCAUUAAAGGUUUCAUGGUACUUAUUGAAAAAGACUGGAUCUCUUUUGGACAUAAGUUUGCAGACAGGUGUGAUCAGUUGGACCCUGACCCAAAAGAGGUGUCACCCAUCUUCACACAGUUCCUGGAGUGUGUAUGGCAGCUGACUGAACAGUUUCCUCAGGCUUUCGAGUUCAGCGAGUGGUUCCUCAUUCAGAUCCACGAGCAUGUCCAUUCCUGUCAGUUUGGCAACUUCCUGGGCAACAGCCAACGGCAGAGAGAGGACCUUCAGUUGAAGGAGAGGACAUAUUCAUUAUGGGCUCACCUUCUGAGUGAAAAGCAGAACUACUUGAACCCUGUGUACAGCCUAAGCUUUGCAGAAUCACAUCCGGUCUUGGAACCGUCUACCCAAGCCUACCACUUCAAGUUCUGGAGAAACAUGUACCAUCAGUAUGACCGUUCCAUGCACCCUCGGCAGUCCAUUCUCAAACACGUCCUCACCUUGAAAGAAAGCAACCGAGAGCUUGAGGGCACAGUGCAAGCCCUAAAGACUAAGCUCCAGGCGUUUGGUGUGAGUACGUCUCCUCUAAAGCCCCAGACACCUCCAAGAGAGCGCAGUCUCCCCUCCCGACCUCAGUCUCUUAUCCUGGGAGCUCCUCUUCUCAGUCGGAAGGAAGUGCAGCAGGAGGAAGAUGAAGAGGUGCUCGGAGAGGAGGCCAGGGAAGAUGCUCCGGCCAGUACUGACGGAGAACGGACUGUAGAGGGUAGCAGUGCCACGGAGAAUGGUUACGGAGAGCUGACAGGAUCAUUCGGCUCCAAGAAUGAGCCGGCCGUGGUCACCUUGGAGUUUGGAGUGGCCAGAAUGACCUGCUAAGGACAAAUCAGAACAUUUGAUUUUGGAAAUUUCAUGAAUCUAGUGGGACUAGAGAGAAAAAAAAAAGUAUAUUCUGAUGUGUUCUGGCUCAAAACGUAAUUUAUUCGAUGUCACUUCCUGUUAUCUUUGAAGGGUGAAAAGACUGAUGCUGUCCAGAAUGAAGGAUGACUGCAGAGAUGCCCUACACACAAGUGUCCCAUGUGCAGUCUGGUCGAUUAUGGGGGAUCAGUUAGGAACCCAAAAGGUUAAUGUGAUGUCAUAGAGCAGGUGAAAGGUCAUGUUUAUUUACAGGUUAUUUUAUGAGCUAACAAUAAAUCACGGGUAACAAAAAAAAAAGAAAAACAGGUUACUACUCCGAAUGGAUAAUUUAAAGCAAUCUGUCAUCGUCACAUACAAAACAUAUGAUUGCCAAAAAACACAACCUGUCUUUUAUUCUCACCAAGGCUGCAUUUAUUUGAUCACAAAUACAGUAAU